AUGACAAAGAUUGUCAAAAAAUAUAUGGAGCAUGACAUGAUAGAACUUCCAAUAAAUACCGGCAACACGCAUUGGUAUUUAGCUAUUGUGAAUACAAAAAAGCGUGAGAUUCAAGUGUUGGACUCAUUGUGCUGGAAGUUUGACCGAGAGGACCUUGCUAUUACGCUACGAGGAGUACAAUUUCAUUUGGAACUUCUUAAAAGUCAGAACUUGAUUAAGGAUGAUUGGAAAGACGUUGAUCUUACUGAAUGGAAGAUCACAGAACAAUUACAAUAUCCAAUUCAAAAAGACAGUACUUCUUGCGGUUUAUUUACGGUCAAAUUUAUGGAAUAUUUCACCGGAUGUACACUAUCCUGCCCAAUUACACAGGAAAUGAUUACUUCUUUUAGGUUUAAGUUAGCCAGCAUACUAUUAUGUUGGAAAACAAAUACUGCAUCAAUGACUACGAUCGUUGAAGAAAGUGACGAUGACAACAAGGGAGAUCCUGAUGAUGUUCAAAUAUUGGAAAGUGUAGAUGAUAUUAAAAAAACAAAACAAAAAAUCCCAUUAUCUGUUGAAAAUAAAUACAGAUCACUAAUAUCUAUUCUUUCUAAUAUGAGCUUACAUGAGUUAACAGGUGCACUCUGUAACUUCAUUAAAUCAAUCAAAUACACCGAGAUUUUAGAGAAAGUAUGGAUACAAAGUUCAAAGCCGUAUCCAAUUAGCUUGUCUCUCAGAAAGCUACAAGGAAUGCUAAAUGAUGAUUUACCCAUGGACCGAGAUUGCUUUAAUUUGGUCGUACGGAUGAUUAUGUUUGAUGACAUCCAAAUGGCACAAAAAACAAAACAAUUGAUAACGAAGCAUUAUGUUGACAUGAAAUUUUGGAUGACUACCGAUUUUGGACGACACCCAGAAUUUCGCAAAAAGUUAGAUGUGGACCAACUAGCAAAUUCUGUUCGCAGUUGGCCUGGUAUCAAAUAUAAUGUUUCAACAUGCAAAUCGAUUCAUAUUCCAGUACAAUCCAACGGUGAUUUCAUUCUAUUCACAUUGGACAAAGAUACCAGAACAGUCUACAUUUUGGACCCUACUCCUAUUAAUCCCAUGUACCAAUACAACCCACUCGCAAAAUAUGUGGAAAAAAUUAUAUGGAUUGCCAAGCACUUACCGAAAGCAAUGUCAAAAGCAUGCCCUGGAUCUAGAUGGAACGAAAAUAUUCUUCUAUGGCAUCAAAAAAUCCUAGAUGAUAUUCCAGUUUACAACAGGGAAAUGUCCGGUUAUCUUAUUCCCAUGUUCAUGUCCACAUGGGAAGAUGAAAAACCACAUUUGCCAUUUUUAAAGGAUGGAUAUGAACUCAGAAAACUAAUUUUGGGCCAACUGCUAACAUUCAAGGACAAUGAAUGUGAAGAUAACAUGCCCGCCGGUGUACUUGAAUUCAUCAGUUGUAUCAGGAAAAUCCAAUAUAAAACUGGACGUGCGUGCUAUUUCUGA
rnacentral:rRNA from 1 species